rnacentral:lncRNA from 1 species
AUGUGUGAGGGGAUAAGAACUGCUGAGUUCGCUUGCACUGGGUACACCACAGUUUGCAGCACAGAAUGGAAAACAGCCUCGGGGGCAGUUGCUCCCAUACUAUGCCGGUUACUGAGGAAAUGUACUUUGCAUGAAGAAGGCUGUACUAGUUCAUCUGGGUGUGAGCAGAAACAUGUCUUGUUGAUACUUCUGGAAUCCCUUACCACACUUCGAACUGACUGUAUGCAAGCUAUUACUCAUAUGGCCAAAGAUAAGUAUGAAUGCAUGAAUAAUUUUUAG